CCCAUGAUUCCUCCUUCUCCCGUUGUUUUGACAGAGCCAUCGUGGGUCGAAGGUUUUUCUUCCUGCAGGGAAUGUUGUAUUUGUACCGUAUGGUGACCAUGUACAUCACAACUCUUCCUGUUCCCAGCAUGCACAUGCACUGCGCCCCGAAGGUGAGUGCCGCUCAAUCAACACUAACACACACGAAUGAGUGAACUAUCAUGCAGUGUGUGAAUAAACCUCAUGGAAUACUGCUUUAAAGCAUCUUAAUACAAGUUUAGUUCAUUCAAAAUGAAUGCAAUGAACUCAGUUCAGUGUCAGAUUUUAUUACUUCACUGUAAGUCUGCAACAUUAUGGUUAUUUUCAUCAAUAUUGGCUGAUGUUUUGACAUUUUGAGCAUUACAGCCUGGACGUAGUGGUGGAGUAUUUCAUCACCUCACGUCUCUUCUACUGGUACCACACCAUGGCCAACAACCGGACCUUGAGAGGAUCUCCUCACAACUAUCUGAACCGGAUUUGGUGGAACCGCGUGUUUAACUUCCUGGAGAAGAAUGUAAAGACGACGGUUCCCUGCUCGUUCUCGUGGCCGCUGUUGCCUCCAUCUGCCGUCUUCAAGAACCCGUGCAAGAGCUACUCAAUAGUGCAGAGCGCACAAGAUUAAUGACACCACAAACACUACGCCUGCAAAUCAAGAUCCUGUUUACUUGAGCACAGCUUUUUACAUGCUUUGAAGAAUAUGUUUUUGUGCGGUUCCUGAUGAACGUAGACACAUGCUGCCAUGUUCCUUAUAGUAUUGUUUUCACACUGUACUUAAGACAUAAUUCAAAUGUUUAUUCGUAUUUCUCAGUGAAGGAUUUUGAAAUGUGUAUUGUUCACAAUUGUAUAGUUUGUAUUUUAAUUUAUUUGUUCUGUACCUUGUGAAAGAAAUGUAUUUGUUUAAUGAAUGUCAGAAAAUAAAUACUAUUUUAUUCAAUUUUAUACAAAUGUGAUUUUAUGGUUUUGUGCAUAUUGUUGACUGAUAUAAAAACUACAAAAAUGA